rnacentral:rRNA from 1 species
GACGAACGCUGGCGGCGUGCUUAACACAUGCAAGUCGAACGUGAUUUUUGUGGAAAUUCUUUCGGGAAUGGAAAUGAAAUGAAAGUGGCGAACGGGUGAGUAACACGUGAGCAACCUACCUUACACAGGGGGAUAGCCGUUGGAAACGACGAUUAAUACCGCAUGAGACCACAGAAUCGCAUGAUAUAGGGGUCAAAGAUUUAUCGGUGUAAGAAGGGCUCGCGUCUGAUUAGCUAGUUGGAAGGGUAAAGGCCUACCAAGGCGACGAUCAGUAGCCGGUCUGAGAGGAUGAACGGCCACAUUGGAACUGAGACACGGUCCAAACUCCUACGGGAGGCAGCAGUGGGGAAUAUUGCACAAUGGGGGGAACCCUGAUGCAGCGACGCCGCGUGAGCGAAGAAGGUUUUCGAAUCGUAAAGCUCUGUCCUAUGAGAAGAUAA